rnacentral:rRNA from 1 species
AUCGUACGGGAGGCAGCAGUGGGGAAUCUUCCGCAAUGGACGAAAGUCUGACGGAGCAACGCCGCGUGAGUGAUGACGGCCUGGUUGUAAAGCUCUGUUGUAAGAGAAGAACGGGUGUGAGAGUGGAAAGUUCACACUGUGACGGUAUCUUACCAGAAAGGGACGGCUAACUACGUGCCAGCAGCCGCGGUAAUCGAU